AAAUUGAAGAGUUUGAUCAUGGCUCAGAUUGAACGCUGGCGGCAGGCCUAACACAUGCAAGUCGAACGGUAACAGGAAGCAGCUUGCUGCUUUGCUGACGAGUGGCGGACGGGUGAGUAAUGUCUGGGAAACUGCCUGAUGGAGGGGGAUAACUACUGGAAACGGUGGCUAAUACCGCAUAACGUCGCAAGACCAAAGAGGGGGACCUUCGGGCCUCUUGCCAUCAGAUGUGCCCAGAUGGGAUUAGCUUGUUGGUGAGGUAACGGCUCACCAAGGCGACGAUCCCUAGCUGGUCUGAGAGGAUGACCAGCCACACUGGAACUGAGACACGGUCCAGACUCCUACGGGAGGCAGCAGUGGGGAAUAUUGCACAAUGGGCGCAAGCCUGAUGCAGCCAUGCCGCGUGUAUGAAGAAGGCCUUCGGGUUGUAAAGUACUUUCAGCGGGGAGGAAGGUGUUGGGUUAAUAACCGCAGCAAUUGACGUGCGUAUACCCGCAGAAGAAGCACCGGCUAACUCCGUGCCAGCAGCCGCGGUAAUACGGAGGGUGCAAGCGUUAAUCGGAAUUACUGGGCGUAAAGCGCACGCAGGCGGUCUGUCAAGUCGGAUGUGAAAUCCCCGGGCUCAACCUGGGAACUGCAUUCGAAACUGGCAGGCUUGAGUCUUGUAGAGGGGGGUAGAAUUCCAGGUGUAGCGGUGAAAUGCGUAGAGAUCUGGAGGAAUACCGGUGGCGAAGGCGGCCCCCUGGACAAAGACUGACGCUCAGGUGCGAAAGCGUGGGGAGCAAACAGGAUUAGAUACCCUGGUAGUCCACGCCGUAAACGAUGUCUACUUGGAGGUUGUGCCCUUGAGGCGUGGCUUCCGGAGCUAACGCGUUAAGUAGACCGCCUGGGGAGUACGGCCGCAAGGUUAAAACUCAAAUGAAUUGACGGGGGCCCGCACAAGCGGUGGAGCAUGUGGUUUAAUUCGAUGCAACGCGAAGAACCUUACCUGGUCUUGACAUCCACAGAACUUUCCAGAGAUGGAUUGGUGCCUUCGGGAACUGUGAGACAGGUGCUGCAUGGCUGUCGUCAGCUCGUGUUGUGAAAUGUUGGGUUAAGUCCCGCAACGAGCGCAACCCUUAUCCUUUGUUGCCAGCGAUUAGGUCGGGAACUCAAAGGAGACUGCCAGUGAUAAACUGGAGGAAGGUGGGGAUGACGUCAAGUCAUCAUGGCCCUUACGACCAGGGCUACACACGUGCUACAAUGGCGCAUACAAAGAGAAGCGACCUCGCGAGAGCAAGCGGACCUCAUAAAGUGCGUCGUAGUCCGGAUUGGAGUCUGCAACUCGACUCCAUGAAGUCGGAAUCGCUAGUAAUCGUGGAUCAGAAUGCCACGGUGAAUACGUUCCCGGGCCUUGUACACACCGCCCGUCACACCAUGGGAGUGGGUUGCAAAAGAAGUAGGUAGCUUAACCUUCGGGAGGGCGCUUACCACUUUGUGAUUCAUGACUGGGGUGAAGUCGUAACAAGGUAACCGUAGGGGAACCUGCGGUUGGAUCACCUCCUUA
rnacentral:rRNA from 1 species